UACGUAGGGUGCAAGCGUUGUCCGGAAUUAUUGGGCGUAAAGAGCUCGUAGGCGGUUUGUCGCGUCGGCUGUGAAAGCCCGGAAGCUCAACUCCGGGUCUGCAGUCGAUACGGGCAGACUUGAGUGUUGCAGGGGAGACUGGAAUUCCUGGUGUAGCGGUGAAAUGCGCAGAUAUCAGGAGGAACACCGGUGGCGAAGGCGGGUCUCUGGGCAACAACUGACGCUGAGGAGCGAAAGCGUGGGGAGCGAACAGG
rnacentral:rRNA from 1 species